rnacentral:misc_RNA from 1 species
AUAGCCUUCCUUUAUUUGCGAUUCUCAGAGCUCGAAAGCUUUUCGUCUCAGUAUCAUUUUUGCAGGACUCUUUCUACUAAUUAGACCCUCAGAGGAAUGACUGAAUAUAUCUAAGGUCAACGUAUUUUCUUCGGCUGGAAGUCGCCAGAAAAUUUCAAAUGAAGCCCGAUGCCGCGUGCAACGGAAAUUUUUCAAAUAUCUGACCGCGUUCUGCGCAAUUCGCAUGGCGAUUCUUCUGAUCGCCAUGUGUUCGGGACAUGGCCAAGCACCGAUACUUUAUGAUUGAAACAACGGCUGUGUAACGUGAAUCGUUCAGUGUAUUCCCACGAAACUCAUUUGUGAAUAAUAUACAAACGACAAGCCGCGUGUGGUAGAAAAAAGAACGGAGUUACUGAAAUAAAAACAGUCUGUGACAUCGAAGGUGAGUUUAGUUUAUCAAAUUUUCAUUGCUUGUGCAACUUCAGCUUUUAGUGAUUUCGAUACUCGACUCUAUGCGUCGGGUGUCGUUUGUUAUUGUUUGUGGUGCGGCUGACUUUCUGUCAGUGCGUAGUUGCAUUGUUAGCAAGUUUAACUCAAUCCGUUUAGGCAGCCAACUGUAACACGAAAAGUGUUAAUGGGCUUCACAUAUCGAGUGUAAUUAUUACGCUGCAGUUUGCUGAACAUGUUAUUAACAGAUUGAAAUUGCUCUCGGGCAGAGUUUUGACUAGUCACAAGCGUUCUGUGCCGAGAAAAUGGCCCGAUAAUCUUCCGUUGUGAUUUUUUUUCCAACAUUCUGGAAAAUCGGGUCUUGCGGAAGGCGACCUUCCUGCGAGUUGCGUCUCGGAUUUCGAUUCGCGGAUCAAGUAUUUCCAACUAACUUCUGUUACCAACAUUAGUUUAAGUGUUUUGAGUAUUAUUGUGUAAUAUAAUGAUGCGAUUGGUUUAUUCGUCGCAUAUGUAAAAUCGCUUGUAUGUACGUACAGUGAUAACCAAUGAAAAUUUUGCAGUCAAUUUUGUUGUCUAUCAUUCUUGCUGCAAUAACAUCAUGUGUUAAUAUAUUUUUGAUUCAUUUCGUUACUUCCAAUUAAAAAUCGUGCAUUUUUUAAUUCUUACGUUGAAAACGCAUCUGAGAACCACUGACUCAACCACGUAUUUUGACGUACGGCAUUUUGCCGUUGCGUCGCGUCGGUACUCACUUUCAACGUAUUAUCAAUGCAUUUGUUGCAGCGUAAAUUUGCCGUCGGGCCAAUUAGACGCCCGUGAAAAUCCAACUUGACAAAAAAAAAAAAAAAAAUACAAACGAAUUUCAUCUGUCAAGCUGCCGUCGUAUCGCCUUCAUUUUUUUACAACGUGGCACUGAGGAAUCGCGCCAAGUAAAGCGAUGACAACUCUCCGAUUGGCCCUGGUACAACUUGCCGUAACCGACGAUAAAGCAAUAAACAUCUCUCGAGCAAUCUCCUUUGUCAAACAAGCAAAACAACGCGAUGCCGACGUCGUUGCACUGCCAGAGUGCUUCAACUCACCUUAUGGAACUGUACAUUUUCGAAAUUUCGCUGAAAAUAUUCCCGCGGGUGAGACAAGCCUUGCUUUAUCAGCUGCAGCUAAAACGAAUGAAAUUUAUGUGAUCGGUGGUUCGAUCCCGGAAAGAGAUGGGGAGCAAUUGUUCAACACUUGUACGGUCUGGGAUUCCAAAGGAACAUUCAUCGGGAAAUACAGAAAGAUGCAUUUGUUCGACGUAGACGUUGAAGGAAAAAUAUCAUUCAAAGAAAGUGACACCAUCACAGCUGGCAAUGAGCUAUUCACGUUUCGAGUCAAAGGCUGGAAAAUCGGUUUAGGAAUCUGUCACGACAUCCGGUUCGAAGAGUUGGCUCGUCUGUACCGUAAUUUAGGUAAUCCGAUUCACAAUGAAAGCACCUUACCGCACACCCUCCCCUACACUCAUAGUUUCUCUGCCGUUCAUCCAUCGACAGGGUGUCAAUUGAUGUUUUACCCCGGUGCUUUUGAAUCGACCGUAACCGGACCGUUGCAUUGGUCUCUUCUCCAACGAGCCCGUGCCAAUGACGCCCAGCUUUACGUUGCCGGUGUAUCUUCGGCCAAAGUAGACGGUUUCGGGUACGAAUCUUAUGGCCACACGCAGCUGACGGAUCCCUGGGGAAGAGUGCUCAAGGAGUUGGAGUUCGCGGAAGAUAUGAUUGUUGCUGAUAUUGACAUGACAGUUGUUGAUGAGGUGAGAACCCAGAUUCCGAUUUUUGGUCAACGACGUGAGGACUUAUAUGAGACUGCUUGGAUGAAAAAUUAAUACGAACGCCGGAGAAGUUUUCGUCAAUGUAUAUUUUCUUUUUUUUUUUAUACAGCUAAUGUAAAUUAUAUUAUUGCCCGUAUCCUUCAAAUUGACAGUUGAAAAUGCGCACUAUAAGUAAUGGAAAAAUAUCAUCCAUUUGCAUAGUUAAACUUUCGAAGCUGUUCAAUUUGUUCGCAAGUUAUUGUACCUUAAUUAGCACGCUUUGUUUUAAUUUCAGAUCACUGAAUAUAAUACAAUGAAUUUAGAAUGUUUAUUUAUACAUAAAAGGCCCCUUGAUGAUCCUCAACAAAUCUCAAUCAAACUUAAUAGUUCAUGUUUUAACAUGUUAUUACGUUCCUGUGCAUAUUACAUAAUAUGUUAUUAUUAUUUUUAUAUUUACAUUGAUAGAAUAAUAAAUUUAUACGUGUAUAAAUAUUAGUUAAAAAUGUAAGCCUAGGAGAAAUUGGUCAAUUAAUAAGACUUCUAAGUAUGAAUCUAAGGAAUAGCGAAAAAGCUUUGAUUUUCAGUCGAUAUGAGUUGGGCUGAAGUAAUCCGAACAAUAUGAAAUCGUGGUAAUAUAUCACUAUAUUGAUUUGAUUUCCGGUGAAAGCUUGCUUCUGAAAAUACAUUGAAAACAAGUUUUCAGACAAACUUGAAACAUGACUUUUGUCAAAACAUCCAAAUGUUUUCCAUAAAGUUUUUAUACGUCAGAAUUUCAUAUAAAAUCUUUAAAGUAGUUAUCCCAUUAAAAAUACAAGCGUUUUUAAACGCCCAACUCACUUGAAUAGAUUUUGCUUUUCCCAAAAUUUACUUACACAAUUAACAAGGAUGAACAGAAGAGACAAAAUAUCGCAAUAAUAUUCCAAGAAUUGGUAUUACAAGCUUGUUAAAAUUUUUUAGUAAGAAGUUGUUCAUCAGGUUUGAAAUCAAGAUCACAAAAUUUUGCGUUCAUUUUAAAAGCAGCGCUCUUCAAAUUUGUCUCAUGUUCUGAAAUCACUUUAUCAUAACAAUAACUAAUUUCAUAUAUUCCUUUUUUCAUUCCAUACAAAUCUGCAACAACGAUGUACGAAAUUUUGAUUUGUGCAAUGCGAGGCGGUAUAAUUUUUUUAAGUAAUUUAUUUUUGCAUCUUUCAAAUUGUUUGCGAGAAUCUUUCUACCGUUUGCGAGAAGAAUUGAGAAAAAAUUUAUCGAUGCAAAAUGUGAUAUUAUAGCAUGCGAUAGCGUGGAAUGAAAUAUGGUUUGAUAUUAAAUAUUAUCUUACGUCAAAAGUCAACGCGACAAAACAUAGAGAAACAUAAGUUGAUGCAGAAAUUAUUUUUAAACUGCUUAAAAUUCACCCUACUUUCAACAUUCGAUAAUAUUACGUACCUUACAUCUAAAAAGACGUCAAUUCGCUAAGAAGUAUUCAAGAAACCAUUUAUUUCAGUAAUUUCUAGCUGAUACUUCGCAAGCAUUUUCAUGCUUAUGAUGAUCGCUUGUGAUGAUAAAAAAAUUAUUUAUGUAACGCAUGUCUGGUUUAUGCGUCUCUUUUUUAUCUGCGUUUCGUACUGACAAGUUUUCAUAAAGAGCAAAAACUGACUUGAUAUUUAUGCAAAAGUUAUUAUAUACAUGUUUUCAAUGAUAUGUGAUUACAGACAUAAAUUCUUAUUCGAAUGGAUGGAUUUAACGUAUCUUGAUACUGGCUCUCGUCGAUUGGAAUGACGAAACGAUAAUAUGGAUUACGUCUAUAAAUUGAAGAGGUAGAUUUAAAAAAACUGUUCGGAUGGCAGCUCUCGGAGAUCUUAAAACAUAGAAGAUUUCUGUUUACCACUUCGCCUUGACAACCAACGGACCUGUAAACCCCGGAAACCAUACUUCAAAUUCUAGCCUUCGGCAAUGUGCUGCCAAAAGUACGGACAUGAUUUUCCACAUAUUCCUCAAUUUCACAAUAAAUUUUUCGAGAGGA